rnacentral:rRNA from 1 species
CCACGGGGGGCAGCAGUAGGGAAUUUUCGUCAACGGGCGCAAGCCUGAACGAGCAAUGCCGCGUGAACGAGGAAGGUCUUCGGAUCGUAAAGUUCUGUUGAAGGGGAAAAAGAGCGGAGAGAGGAAAUGCUUCCUGAUUGAUAUUACCCUUCGAGGAAGUCACGGCUAACUACGUGCCAGCAGCCGCGGAAAUACGGAGGUGGCGAGCGUUAUCCGGAAUGAUGGGGCGAAAAGGGUGCGUAGGCGGCCUGCGAAGUCUGGGGUGAAAGGUACCGGCUCAACCGGUACAGGCUCUGGAAACUGGCGGGGUAGAGAGCAGGAGAGGGCGGUGGAACUCCAUGUGUAGCGGUAAAAUGCGUAGAUAUAUGGAAGAACACCAGUGGCGAAGGCGGCCGCCUGGCCUGUUACUGACGCUGAGGCACGAAAGCGUGGGGAGCAAAUAGGAUUAGAUACCCGUGUAGUC